AUCUGAUGCCCCUUCCUGGAGAGAGACUUCGGUGAGAGACUGGGGGCUUGGAGGUCCAUGCCGGAAAGCACUGGGGAGCUGGCUAGGACACAAGCUCAGGAUGUCUCUGUAGUGGCAAAGUUUGAAAUGGGAAAAGUGAUCCAGCAUCUUAAGAAGCUGAGUCAAAAAGCCAAGCCUCUCACCUAAGCAGUGAUUUUUAAGCAAUUCAAACCAGUUUAAUCAAUCCCCAAAUGAUGGAAAAUCGAUAUUACACCUAUCAGUCAGUUCAGGAAGCCAGAAGUCACUUGACUCCUUCUGCUGUUUUUACAACCCAUAACUCGUAGUACAUAAAGCAGGAGGGAGAGGAGAGACGAUCUGGAGUUUAAUGAGAGAUGAGUGGACUCUAGUUAACGGGUCUUCCAGAGGAAUGAAACGGGACUGGAUGCAAGUUUCAGAAGGACAAUUCUGGCAUUGAUUCCUGGAGGGCACUGGUAUGAGUAUUGAGAAGGCUGUUUUCAUGCCACCCCAAGUCACGAUAUGUGCAGCGCGUUUCAUCCAUCUCUACUCAGAAGUCCCAGAAUUGUGUGUGUAUGAAUCACUUGAAGCCUGUUAUUUUUUGAGUCACUAAGCCAGC
rnacentral:lncRNA from 1 species